GCCCCAUUCAGCAGUGAGCCCACAUUUUCUUUGCUUAUCCCUUCACUGUUAUUGAAGCAUUAGCAGCUCUUCUUCAGGCCCUUGAUGUUCCCUGCAUGUGUACAUCUUAGAGGAGCUUUGGCUUCCCCAACACGAUCCCUACUUUGCUGCACAAUAGUGCCCUGUUCAUUUAAGGUGCUUCCCUGAGAUGUCUACUACUCUUACUGAGCAUUGGUAUGAACCGUCCUUGUGCUUGGUGGCUGCUGACCUUAAAGAUGAGCUGGCUUUCCUAAGUUCCACCGGCCUUCGUAGCUGCCUCCAACAGAACCCGUAGCUGCCCCCAGCAGACCCCGGAGGAGAUCCAGGUCUGUUCCUCUGAAGUCCAGCAUCUGCCCUCUGCUACUGUCUUUCCUCACUGCCCUCAUGAUCUGGGACGCCACAAUUUCAUGCUUAUUGCAGCCAAGUUUUCCACUAACGAUCACAUCCCUGAUCAGUUCUUCCCUGUCUGCAAGUACUAGAUCCACAUGAGCAUUGCCCUUAUUGGCCCACCAGGGAGCUGUGCUUAGAAGCUAUCCCUGACACCCUCCAGAAACCCCCUGGACUUCUUGCACCAUGCUGUUUGGCCUUCCAGUGAAUGUCAGAGAGAUUAAAGUCCCCUCCUUCCCUGCCCCCCCUACCCACCUCUGCCAAUAAGAACCAGGCCCUGUGACCCACAGACUUCCUCAAGUUGCUUAAAGGAGAUUGCAUCCACCUCCUCAUCCUGAUCUGUAACUCCCAUCACAAUGUCACCCUUACUCUCUGAUGCUCACCCACAAGCUUUCACCCAGCCCCUUUACAUCCCUUGGAAGAGCUCCAUACCUCCAAGCUGCCCCUUCACAGAAGGUCAUCCCCCCCCCCCCAAGCUGCAUUCACUUGUGUAUAUUUGUGCUGCAAGGCCUCAGCUGUGGCACAGAGAACAGAUUUGUUCUGGUGAAACCUGUUAUCAAAAGCCAAGGACACCGUGUGUGCAAUGGCCCCACUUCAGAGCAGAGACAGGCUGGCAUGGAUAGCAGGUGGCAAUGKAAUGGUGAAAGCAGGUUUCCACUAUGAGAGGAAACCCUGCGGUAGCCAAGGCCAGGGAGAAACAGAGCUGAGCCAUGCAGAAAUGGCAGGAGAGAGGUUUGCUGCCUGACCGCAGCACCUUGGGGCCUAUGACAGAGGUGAACCGAUCUCCAGGAAGGACAAGGUGCCAGUGAAGAAGUCCCUGGGCCUGGGCAGCCUGUGAUCCAGGCACCGUGUGGACAUCAUUAGCACAGUCCCUGGUCAUAUUCUCUGGAGGUGAGAAGAGGUUCAGGGGAAGGAGAGCUGGAAGAUUUUAAGAGUGCAGACAUGAGUGGAGACCAUGGUGCGAUGUGCCUCCCAUUUACAGGCAUACCUCAUUUCAUUGCGCUUCGCUUUGUUGCACUUCACAGAUAUUGCGUUUUUACCAAUUGAAGGAUUGUGGCAAGCAAAACUGCGCCCAGCAAGUCUAUCAUUGGUGCCAUUUUUCUAACAGCAUGUGCUCAUUUCACAUCUCUGUGUCACAUUUUGGUAAUUCUUGCAAUAUUUCAAAGUUUUUCAUUAUUAUUAUAUCUGUUAUGGUGAGCUGUGAUCAGUGAUCUUUGAUGUUACUAUUGUAAUUGUUAUGGGGUGCCACGAACCACACCCAUAUGACAGCGAACUUAAUCAAUAAAUGYUGUGUGUGCUCUGACUGCUCCA
ensembl:lncRNA